CAAUAGCGUAUAUUUAAGUUGCUGCAGUUAAAAAGCUCGUAGUUGGAUUUCGGGUGGGAAUGGCCGGUCCGCCGUUUCGGUGUGCACUUGCUACGCCCACCUUGCUGCCGGGGACGUGCUCUUGAGUUCACGCUCGGGACACGGAGUCGGCGAGGUUACUUUGAGUAAAUUAGAGUGUUCAAAGCAGGCCUACGCUCUGAAUACAUUAGCAUGGAAUAACACGAUAGGACUCUGGCCUAUCUUGUUGGUCUGUAGGACCGGAGUAAUGAUUAAGAGGGACAAUCGGGGGCAUUCGUAUUUCAUUGUCAGAGGUGAAAUUCUUGGAUUUAUGAAAGACGAACUACUGCGAAAGCAUUUGCCAAGGAUGUUUUCAUUAA
rnacentral:rRNA from 1 species